AGUACCCGGAUGUGGGAGGCCGCGGGCGGUGGCGGCCUCGCGCACAAUGAGCCCCAGCCGAGUUAGCUAAGGGGGAGAUUGCACAACACAGACAAGCGCAGCAGACUGGGGGAGGGGAGCCUCUCAAGCGGCCAUGUGCUCACUCGCCCCGCCACUCGGCGGCGUCUCCCCCGCCGUCAAACAAUCCGCAACCCGCCCGCCCCCGUCGAGAAAUGGCGUCGCCCUCCCAUACCUCAGGCCGCUCACCCCCGAAGCAAAGUGGACCUGCCCAUCCGCAGUUUGCCAAUUGCCCGGCUUGUGCGGCAAAAUGGACCCGCCCGCCCGGCGCCGGGUGGGCUCCCGGUGCCUCACGCGGCCGCUCCUCGGGGUCGGGCUCAGUCCUGGCCGUCAAGAAAACCAGCACCCUGAACGGCCCGUUUCUCCUGCCCCGACCCACUCGAGAGCCACGAGGGGGCUGGCGAAGACCCGGGCACCCCUGCCUGCCGCAAGUGGUACCGCCAGAAUCCUCCGGAGCCCGCGCUGCGCUGCCCGGCCCUGCCCCGCCGACACAGGCAGGCCACCCGGCCAGCCGGCUCCGGGCCGCGCAGCCGCCUCUUCCCCACGCGAGGUCGCGACCUCGCCUCGCCUUCCAGUACCCGGGCCUCGCGUACGGCAGCCCCUCGGGCAGGGGCCUCGCGGCGAACCUCGCGCCCCAGCCCUAGCCCGGCUGUCCUUGCCGUCUCCGCGCUGGUGGCAGCGUCGGCCGUGGACCUGCCCGUGCCCCCCUCCGGACGGUUCCUCCCGGCUCGGUGCCCCCGCAGCCUGGCAGGUUUGGGGCGAUGGGCCUCUCAACCUCCCCCCGCGGGACCUUCGGAAGGGAGCGGCGGGCCUCCUCAAACCUUAGGGCAGCGGCGAUUUAGAGUGCGCUGGGAGUCAAAAUAGGUGAUGGUGCGCCGCCUUACAUCAACCGAGAUAAGGGACCAGUGCACCUCCAGAUGGAUGGGGAUUAGCAGUAGUUCCUUAUUGAAGAUGUCCACCUGAAGAGAGAGGGCUGGAGGUCAGAAACAACAGAAAACUGCUGACUGCAAUGAGGACUCUAAAGAGAGACUAUGGAACAGGGUCCCUCACUGACGUAGGACGCAAUGAGUAAGCUUGGCAGGCUGGACAGCAAGUCCCAGGAAUCCUCUUAUCUCCACUUCCACAGGAUUGAUAUUGCCGUUACCAGUGGCCUGGCUUUUUUAGAUCUCACCUCAUCCUUCCAGGCUUCCAGGACAUCAGGACUCUGCUCAUGAAAGAGGGUCGUUUAACUAAAGAUACACGGGUCUCAACGCGAGGAAGAGCUCGGAUUUCUGCACCUGUCCUAGGCCCCUGCUCUGGGCACUGACUGCCUUCCAGGGUGUUCUGGGUACAAGAAGUAUCAAUCUUUAACAGUUUAUUUUCCUGGAAUGGCUGUUCCCUUGACUUCUGAAUCCAGGGCCGCCUCUUGCACCUACUUGAAAUUUUGCAGACUGAGAGGCCCUGAGACCCCCUCCGCCAAUUCUUCCUUCCCCCCAGACUCCCCUGUCCCCUUACUCACCUGUUCCCAGAGGCUCUGCCACGGACGUUCUCCUCGCUUCUGGGAAGGUCCUCCGCUCCGCUGCUGCAGCCGGCUCACCUCCCUCCUCAGACUUUGCAGCUCUGUUUGUUGGAUCAGUAGUGCCACAGCACAAGUCACAGCCCCCAGAACCGCCCCCCAACUCAACCAGAGAGCAACCGAGAGGGUUGGCUCUCGGGCUGAGCCCCCCAUGUUGCCCGGAGAUGAGGCUGGCAUGAGCUGGGGAUGCUGCCCACAGCUGUGGUCUCAGGAAUGAGGUGGCCCGGAGGUAGCAGGGAGGGUGGGAAUACCGGCAGGCACAGAAGGGGAGAGCGCAGUUACGCAAGGAAAGAAUAAAAAGGAACUUGAGAAUAAAAAGGAGAGAGGAAGAAAGCAAACUAGGGGUGCUGUUAGUACCCCUGCUCCCCCCCCCCCGAGCUAGUGUCACUCUGCCCCCCACCCCAACUCCCAGCCUCAGAAGAAUUUGGUGCCAAUUAUCUAGGAAGGACAGAGCGGCCUGUGACACCCAGAAGGAGCGGCCAGCACUCAGGAGCCCAGGGACGGCCCCUGAGUUGGAGGAGGGAAGGUCGGUUGGUUAUGGGGCAUGGUGCCAGGAGCAGGGAAGGGGUAAAAACUGGGCAGCAUUGAGGUUUCGAAGGUGAGUGUGGCAGAGCCUCUGACUCGGUCAUGGGCAGGAUCUCUGAGGAGGCUCCUUAGGGGUGACUGAAGAUGAAAAAGGGGUUGAGGGGCCAGCAGGGAAGAGAACCAGGGACAAGAAACUGGCAGGGUGCUGGGGUUAAGGCUGGGCCGGGUGUGCUGGAACCAGGCCUGCACUACUCCCUGUGCUGAACUUGGCAAGCUGGACUUCCUGUUUCCCAAGAAGAGUUCUUACAUAAGGCUCUCUGGGCAAAGAGACAAAAAAAGGAGCCCCAAGCCCCCCACCCCCCCACCCCCGCCACUGCAGCACUCCCCAGACCCAGGGGCCAGGCUCAGGCACCUGGCCCCUGCUGCCCUUCCCCUGGCUCUGAGCCCCUUUCCAGGCUAGCUCCCACCCCAUCUCCUAGCUCGGGCCUGCGCCAGCCAGCACCUGCUGAACUGCUGUGCCUUCUAAGGCCGCCAACAGGAAGGGCCCCUGCUCCUCCCAGUCAGGGAUUCCCCCUGCAGGAGGAAGUCCGCCUGUUAAGGAAAUGAGAUUGCUUCUGCAGUACCUUGAGCAGAGGGCCAGGUGGUUUUGUUUUUCUGAUACCUUUGUGAUUUCUACUCAGAAUUGCAGCUUAAAUGCCUACACUUCCUUCCCAUGACUUUCAGUUAAUUCUGGGCCCCAAAGAAGAGAGAAAUCAUGAUUUAUUCUCUUUAAUAUCCAUUUAACAUUUUGUCACAAUAAUAAUAAAAAUAGUAUCUUUUCAAAAUCCACAGGGAUCCAGGGAGGGGCUCUUAGCCCUCACAUUUGGGAACUUCUGGCCCAGUCCCAGGCUUUUUGCUUCCUGCUGCCAGGUCCAGCCCAUCUCAGUGCCUGAUGCACACAGUCAGUAAACACAGUGUCCUGGGGGCCGGGGCGGAGG